CACAUGCAAUGUCGAACGGUAAGGCCCUUCGGGGUACACGAGUGGCGAACGGGUGAGUAACACGUGGGUGAUCUGCCCUGCACUCUGGGAUAAGCCUGGGAAACUGGGUCUAAUACCGGAUAUGAGCUCCUGUCGCAUGGCGGGGGUUGGAAAGGUUUACUGGUGCAGGAUGGGCCCGCGGCCUAUCAGCUUGUUGGUGGGGUAAUGGCCUACCAAGGCGACNACGGGUAGCCGGCCUGAGAGGGCGACCGGCCACACUGGGACUGAGACACGGNCCAGACUCCUACGGGAGGCAGCAGUGGGGAAUAUUGCACAAUGGGCGAAAGCCUGAUGCANCGACGCCGCGUGAGGGAUGACGGCCUUCGGGUUGUAAACCUCUUUCAACAGGGACGAANCGAGAGUGACGGUACCUGCAGAAGAAGCACCGGCCAACUACGUGCCAGCAGCCGCGGUAAUACGUAGGGUGCGAGCGUUGUCCGGAAUUACU
rnacentral:rRNA from 1 species